AUUGAACGCUGGCGGCAGGCCUAACACAUGCAAGUCGAGCGGAUGAAGGGAGCUUGCUCCUGGAUUCAGCGGCGGACGGGUGAGUAAUGCCUAGGAAACUGCCUGGUAGUGGGGGAUAACGUCCGGAAACGGGCGCUAAUACCGCAUACGUCCUGAGGGAGAAAGUGGGGGAUCUUCGGACCUUACGCUAUCAGAUGAGCCUAGGUCGGAUUAGCUAGUUGGUGGGGUAAAGGCCUACCAAGGCGACGAUCCGUAACUGGUCUGAGAGGAUGAUCAGUCACACUGGGACUGAGACACGGUCCAGACACCGACGGGAGGCAGCAGUGGGGAAUAGUGGACGAUGGGCGGAAGCCUGAUCCAGCCGUGCCGGGUGUGUGAAGAAGGUCUUCGGAGUGGAUAGCGCCUUAAGUUGGGAAGAAGGGCAGUAAGUUAAUACCUUGCUGUUUUGACGGUACCAACAGAAUAAGCACCGGCUAACUUCGUG
rnacentral:rRNA from 1 species